rnacentral:rRNA from 1 species
AUUGAACGCUGGCGGCAUGCUUUACACAUGCAAGUCGAACGGGGUGGAGGGGCAACUCUCCAUUCAGUGGCGAACGGGUGAGUAAUGCAUCGGAACGUGCCCCGUAGUGGGGGAUAACGCCGCGAAAGCGGCGCUAAUACCGCAUAUGCUCUACGGAGGAAAGUGGGGGAUCCGCAAGGACCUCACGCUAUGGGAGCGGCCGAUGUCCGAUUAGCUUGUUGGUGGGGUAAUGGCCUACCAAGGCGACGAUCGGUAGCUGGUCUGAGAGGAUGAUAAGCCACACUGGGACUGGGACACGGCCCAGACUCCUACGGGAGGCAGCAGUGGGGAAUUUUGGACAAUGGGGGCAACCCUGAUCCAGCCAUGCCGCGUGCGGGAAGAAGGCCUUCGGGUUGUAAACCGCUUUUAGCCGGGAAGAAAAGGGCACGGAUAACACCCGUGUCUCUUGACGGUACCGGCGGAAUAAGCACCGGCUAACUACGUGCCAGCCGCCGCCGUAAGAC